GAGGGUAUAGCUCAGUGGUAGAGUGUAGUGUUUAGUAUGCAUGAGGUCCUGGGUUCAAUCCCCAGGGCCUCCA
rnacentral:tRNA from 1 species